rnacentral:rRNA from 1 species
AUGUAUCUUUUCCCUUAUUGUAUUACAUGGGUUGUUUGCGAAGAUUACCUCACUUGCGACAUUGCUUUCAAUGUAGUUAUGCCUCUAAGUCGUGCUUCGACACGUGGGAGAUAUAGCUGCAUCGAGGGCGUUACAAAGGAUUCGGUCGAGGACAAGCCUGUCGAAGCACCUCCAAAGCGUCGAGGACAGCGACGCCGCUCAAAAUCGGGUCGCGGAAAAGACAACAAUACCGGCACCGAAGAUAAUAACACUCCGGAGAACGCCAAAGACCCCAAAAUUCCUAUCAAGCCAACAUUUGAACAUGAUGAUUUGGAGGACAGGCAAGUUAACCCCGAUGAUCCAAUCGGGAACGAGGACUCGGAGGAUAGUAACUACCUACUGAUCUCCAAAGAGGAUGUGAGCCUUGGCGAUGAAGAUUUUAUCGUGCCGGAGGAGCCCCUCAAGCAAGAGCGCUUUAAGCGCAGGCUAAUCGCCAGUGCGAGAAGCCUAAAAAAGAAGCAGAAGCAGCUUGAAGCUGAACAAGACAUACUCAAUGACAGAUGGACUAAUGUCCUGGCAGCCGAGGAAUACGACCUCGAACGCCCAACCAAUAGUUACCUGAAGCGUAAGCUACUACCUCAAUUUGACAACGAGGCCCUUGAGCCAAUUCUACCAAAGCGUAAAACUGCUGACGAACCCGACCGACCACCACGCAGACGGGACAGACCGACUACCCACGCCGAACACUAG